GCCUCUAUAAAUCCCAUUGGCCUUUGGGAUUUUUUUUUUAGGUGUACAACCAAACAUGGUUCCCAUGGCAACAGCCUGAAGAAAGUAAACUUUUCACUGUGCCGCGCUGAACGGCGUCUCUUCUACCGCAGACACAGUCCUGGGCUCCGUGGGCGGCCUCACUCCUCACCGCUCCGGGUGUGGGUGCUCAGAGCGGGCGAGGACAACCCGGCCCCUCUCUAGUGCCUCCCCGGGAAGCCCCAGUCUCACGCUUUUCUAAUCCUCCAACCAGAACCUUUCACGUUCAGGAGCGAAGCGACCGCAUUGAAGCUUUGAUCAAUAACGGAAAGUUCCUGCGUGCCACGCGCGGAGGCCAGGAAAGUAUGCACAGAAAUCAGGGGGGCUUUGCUGUGCCAGACAGCAGCCACCACGAAGCAGGGGCCUGGGCCCAGGGGGAGGGGACAGGGUCACGUGUGGCAGAGGUCACAUCUCCCCACUCCAGUGCCAGCUGCCACACAACCCAGGUCACUGGGCUCAGAGGGGAGCCUUCUCCGGGGCCUUCUGCUCUGCUUGUGGGUGGCACACGUUCCAGACCCAAGUGCCUGAGCGGGCUCAGAGCUGGCACUGGAUGUGCUGGCCAGGAAGACGGCUGGGGACAAGUCAAGGCUGGGCCCUGGGGACACCUGGCAUCCACAGGGAGGUCCGGAAGGCAGGAGGGCAUCAUGUCUCACUUCUCAGGGUAUCCUGGGGUCUUCCUGUGCCUGGCGCUCGGCUCACCCAGGCUGCAGGGCCAUGGUGGCACAGGUGACCUUCCCAGGGAGAGCCCUGCCUGGUCCUGCUGGCAUCUCCUGUUGUCUACUCCCUGAGAGGGCUUUGCUCCAGGGUCCCUCGGUCCCUAUGUCUCUCUCUCCUCGGUCACCUGGGGCCUGGGGCCAUGGAGGGGCCAUGGCACUGGGGUCACUGAAGUCUGCUAGGAAAGGACAAUGGGCAGGAAGGAGGCCCCGCACAUGUGCUGUAGAGGUUGAUGGUGUCUUAGUGAGGGGAAAGUAGACAGGAUUUCUUCUGGAGAGUAGGUGCUUUGUCCAGGAAGUGUGACAGCAGCACUGGGCAGCUGACUGCCAUCCCCCACACCUUGUGUCACAGUGCCACGGACGGGGUGACUAUAAGCCUUAUUCUGAAGGGUGCCCCACUCAGGAGGCUGAGGCAGGAAGAUCCCAAGUUUGAGGCCAGUCUGAGCAACUUAGGGAGAUCCUAUCUCAAAACAAAAAAUGAAAAGGGCUGAGGGUGUGGCAGUGGGCCGUUCGGGGCCCUCUCCCCACGAGCAGCACAUGCUGGGGCCGGGUGCAACCUUGUCUGGGGACAGGAGCAUGUUGAGGCUGGGGCGAGUUCAGGACAUUGGAGAGAAGGACAGCAGAGGUGCCCUCCUCCUCGGGAGCAGAGAACAUUCUAGAAGAGUCUGGAGAGCCUGGAGGCGGGGCCCAGACCCUAUGGUGAUCCCAGGAGCCAGCCCCAACUUGGCCUCUGGUCACAAGGGGAUUUGUUUGUGUUUUUCCUUCCUGGGGAAAACUGCUAUUCCCAGCAGCUCCAGAGGCCCAGGCCACCUGCCCCGGGAAGCGAGCUGCCUGCGGUGGACUUAAAGUAGACUUGAUCCUGCUGCGAGGCCUCACAGGGCCCCACCCUCCGCACCCCCCUUCACCGCGCCCUGAGCACGAGCCUGCAGUCUGGCCACAGGGUCCCCAGGGCUGGGUGGGGGGACCCACACCCGACUGCGGGCACAGGGUGGCAGGCGCUUGGCGAGCCGUCCUCCCCUGACGGCUGCUGUCCUUGUGGCCUGGGGCCCCUCCAGAUGUUCCAAUGCUGGUCGGGGCUGUGAGUGUGACUGCGUGGCACACGCGACUUUCUGCUGGGACUAAGCUGGACGCCAGCCGUUGCCAGGGUCGUGUGCAGGGGAGACAGGAAGUCGGCAUGGAGGUGGGGGCAGGGCACCGGCCGAGGCCCCCCCCAUUCCCUCCACGCCCACCGAUGUCCCGAAAGCUGCCUGACCAGCUCUGCACAGCCCUGCUUGGGCUCGGGGGCCACUGCUGCCACAGAUCCCAGGGGGACAGCCGUCCCGGAGCCGAGCAGGGCGGGCAGGUUUCCUGAUGUGGGCCCGGGGGCUCCCACAAGUUCUGGCGAAAACCAGCGUCUGGUUUCCCACGUGGCUUCAGGAAACGGAGCAAACGCCCCAGAUGCACAAAGUAGCAGCCUCCGCGCGCGGUGCAGAGACGAGCAGCAUUCCAGGCUGCUGACAGCUCAGUCCCGUUUCCCGUGAAAGCCGCAAGUCCGAUCCCGCCACCUCCCGCCAGGGACUGAGGGGAGGAGGCAGCCAGUGUCCCCCGCGUGGCCCUGCAGUCGCUCUCUGUGUGGCCCUGCCAGGCAGUGUGGACUCCGCGCUCGGGUUCUCAGAUCACACCACAGGGAGCCGGGGCAGCCCCACAGAAGCCUCCCCGAGCUCCCCCCAACGCACCGGCACCCACAGGAUGGCAAUGGCGCCCCCGCACAGGCUGAGAGUGGGGACAGAGGCAGCCAGGGGCAUGGGGGCACUGGCCAGUGACCUGCACCCCACGCCCCGCCCGUACUGUGCUUGCGGCGGGCGCACGCUCCUGAGCCCCAGCAUCUCACACGCUCGGCCAGGCCCCCUCCUGCCGGUCCCCGCCCAGGUUCAGCCUCUGAGGCCUGAGUCCAGCAGCCUCCCUCCCCUGCGUGCCGCUCGGCGCUGGGCCUGGGUGGGGACGGGGGUGGCUGUCACGGGGUCUCCACAGGUCUGGAGCUGUGCACGGGCACACGCGUGCUUACUCGCUCACCUGACCACGGGCUCUCUCUCUCACACACGCGCGCGCACACACACACACACACACACACACACACACACACGGUCAUCCAGACACUAGCAUCAGUGCUCACACAGGCUGCGCACACGCUCACCCGGGUCCUCCCACACCGGUCUGCACACCUGCUAGCCACAGUCUCAGGUGGCCAGAGGCCUCUAGCGUGGCUGGUGACAGCCGGGCCUGAGGAGGGUCCCAGGAAGCUGAAGGGAAUUCCUCCUUGGCCACCGCCCCGCCCCGCCCCGCCCUGCCUGCCCACUAGUGCCGCAGGAGGGCGUGCCAGGGAUCUCACGCCCUCCACAGGUGGGCAGUGCCGCCUCUGCCACUACUCAGAGGCCCCAUGUGCAGCGCUGGUGGCUGGAGGACUCCCCUCCACCCCGGCCUGGUAUGUGAGGGCCCCCUAGACCCUGUGUGAAGCAUCUCAGGGCAGCUCCAGGGUCCCAGCUCUGAGGGCAGCCGCUGGUGGAUGCCACUCUCCAUCCUGUGACCCUGCAGGCCCCUGCCAUCGUCCCCAACCUCAGCAGCUCAGGUGCCUGUGUCCUGGGGGCAGCGGUAGCCUCACUGCCCGCCGGGCCACGAUGGCUUCUAGGGUGAACUGGAUGCCGGAGUCCAUGACAGGCCAGUCCUUUGGCCAAAGCUUUCCUGGGUGGUGAGCUGGCUCCCCAGCCCCUUCCUAGAACCGGCCUUGUGUCCUCUAGGAAAUCUGUGGGGCCAGAGGCUGGGGACAGGCUCCCUGACACCCGUGUGCCCCGAGGUCCCCUCUGGAGAAGGUAGGCACAGGGAGGCCCCCCAGAACUCACCCAGUCUGGAGCAUUUCUAAAGUGACCUCAGGGAAGCAACCCGGGGACUGCAGUACACAGAUGGACACAUGAGCCCUGCAUCCGAGCGAGAGGAGCUCAUCCACUGCAGAGAGGAGAGAAGGGCCGGUCUGGGCAGCAACGUGCAGGAGCUGGGCACAUGGCGGGGCAGGAAGGCCUCACGCCAUGCGGUCUCCUGACACGCACGUUCCGGGCAGGGACCCCACAGGAGGCAGGAAGCGGGUGCACACCGCACUGGGGCAGGAGGCGGGAGGGCCUGAGGAAGGGAGCCGGUGUUCCUGGGACACAGGCAGGAGGUGGAGGACAGGCCUGCUGCCGACAGGGGACAGGAAGGUGCUCAGAGCUGAGGAGCCGGGGCUGGCGAACUUGGGGACCACAGCUCCCGGGGACUCGUGCCUCAUGCACUGGGGCCCCAGAAAAGGUCCCCAGGGGCCUCACCUUGGCAUGUAGCCAGGGCUCCUGCUGGGGACACUGGUUCCUGCUCAGUGCCAGCUGCAGCCCCUUCUUGGGCACUCACGGUGGCCCCAGAGCCCCUCACGCUCAGCUGGGAAGACUCCAGCAACUCUGCAUAUUUCAGACACAUCUUUUCUAAAGCUCGAAGAAGAAGGGUGACUCCUACUUCAGCUGUCAAGUCACCUGUCAGUCACCGCAGAAAGCUAAAUCAAUUCAAACUGCAAACCUUUGGGGUGUGACCCCGUACCCACCCUUCCAGCUUUCUUGGACCUUGUAAACAUUUGCACAGCCUUUAAUACUCAGUAAAUACUACUGUGUGGAGGAAAGGCUUGCUAACUGUGACCAUGGCCAGCAGAAUAACGCUGGCCCUGCUGCCACACGUCACAUCUCGCACGGGAGCCGUGACCCAGACGCGCACACGGGCUUGGCAGGUGGGUCCAGGCCUCUGCCGGGGAUGGGGUCCUGAAUCGGCCCGUGAGCCUGGCUAACCACGCAGGCAGGUGGAAUGUGGGGCCCCUUUCCUGCUGCGGUCACCAGGAGACACCAAGACAGAGGGAUGGGACACAGACGGUGGCUCUAAAGAUGGAGGAAAAAGACCCAUGGUUCGAGGACUGUGGGAGCCUCUGGCGCCCUGAAGGGCCUGGAAGCCUCAGAAGGGGCACCCACUCCUGAGGUCAAGACUUCCACCCCAGAACAGCAGGAGCGGUGUCCCCUGCUGGCCCCCACCUAGGGCUUCCGGCUCUAACAUCUCUGCCCCAAGCCCCUUGGAGGUGAGCCUUCUUUCCUCACCUGUGUGAACCAGUUCUCCAUCUGAUGGCUAUUGGCUGAAACAGGUCACGUGCCUACCCCCCCAGCCAAUCACUGCAGCCUCAGAGAUCUGUGCUCUGAUUGGCCAGCUCUGGCCCACAUGACCAGCCCUGCAGCCAGGAUGGAGCGUGAGAAUGAGCUGGGGAAGUGCAGGAUGCUGUGGCUGGAAGCCGGGGACGGGACGCAAGCGUCACAGGAAUGUCCCCUGCAGGGGUGCCGGGGAAAUGCGGCUUUCCAGAGGCCAGCGGCUGCUGCACCCAGGGCGAGCUGUGGCUGUCCCAGCCUCGUGUUCCCACGGGAAAGCCUCCCCGGGCCUGGGCACAGCCUGAGCCCCCUGCCUCCCAGGUCCCCACGCAGCUGCACAGCGCAGCCUGGGCCUCCCAUCUCCCGGUCCUGCGGGCCAGGAACCUGCUUCUUGUGUUUGUUUUCGUGGAGUUUGCAAACUUGGGUCUUGGCUUUCCAUCCGGGCAAUACCCGGUUUUUCUCACGCACUCCCGCUGGCCUGUGCGGGGCCUGAAAGGGCGCUGGUGGGGCCUGAGAGGCGUGAGGACCCCGAGCCAGCAGAGCCUGCCGUCCCUUGGCCCCAGCUCCCCUGGCCGGCUCCCUGACUGUCAGCCUCUUGGACACCCCGCGGCUCAGGUCCACCCCAUCUUUCCCACGGCCCCUGACCCUGCGCCCCCACCUCCGGGUCACGGCGGGACUGAGGCCCAAACGCACAGGUCCAGGGGACAGCUGUCCUCCCAGCCAGCAGCGGAGGGUGACUCACAGCUCAUUCUGCCCGGGCAACGUGAACUGGCUCAGCCAGAGUGGAAUACUUUUGGCUAAUUCAUUUGGCAAUCACAUCAAAGCCCAGAGGGGACGGAGUCCAAGUUUCCUCCUCCUUUAAAAAUAAAAUAAAACAGAAACAAAAACAAAUCCGGGCAUGAGCAAAGCAGGGCUCCGAUGAUCUCUCGUUCCCUGGCGAGGUGGUGCCGGGCGGGCGGGGCCGCACCAGGCUCUCCGCCCAGUCCUCCCCACUGCCCAGCACAGAGCGUGGUUUGCAGCGGGUGCCUGGGGAGCAGCCGAGGGUCGCCUUCCAGUUCCUGUUGCAAAACAAGGAAACACCCUCAGUUUAACAGCAGAGAACGAGCAUCUUCCAG